GACGAACGCUGGCGGCGUGCUUAACACAUGCAAGACGAACGGAAAGGCCCUGCUUUUGUGUGGUGCUCGAGUGGCGAACGGGGGAGUAACACGUGAGUAACCUUCCCUUGACUUUGGGAUAACUUCAGGAAACUUGGGCUAAUACCGGAUAGGAGCUUCUGCUUCAUGGUGGUGGUUGGAAAGUUUCGGCGGUUGUGGAUGGACUCGCGGCUUAUCAGCUUGUUGGUCGAGUAGUGGCUUACUAAGGCUUUGACGGGUAGCCGGCCUGAGAGGGUGACCGGCAAACUGGGCACAGAGCUACGGCCCAGAGUACUACGGGAGGUAGCAGUGGGGAAUAUUGCAUGAUGGGCGGAAGCCUGAUGAAGGACGGCCGCGUGAGGGAUGACGGCCUUCGGGUUGUAAACCGCUUUCGCAUGUGACGAAGCGUGAGUGACGGUACUGGGUAAAGAAGCACCAGCUAACUACGUG
rnacentral:rRNA from 1 species